GGAGAGGUCCAGAUGAUCGCCGGCUCCUUCGGGGGCGGGAGGAAAGUCCGGGCUCCGCAGGGCAGGAUGGUCCCUAACGGGGACCGGGGGCAACCCCAGGGAAAGUGCCACAGAGAGGAGACCGCCUGCCGGCGCCUUGGGCAAUGGCAGGUAAGGGUGAAAGGGUGAGGUAAGAGCUCACCAGUGCCGGCGGUGACGUCGGCAGCUCGGUAAACCCCAUCCGGAGCAAGACCAAAUAGGGGAGCGUUCGAGGGCGGCCCGUCCGAGGCUCCCGGGUUCGGUCGCUGGAGGCCGUCGGCAACGGCGGUCCUAGAGGAAUGGUCAUCGCCCCGCCGGUGGGUAACCGCCGCGGGGAACAGAACCCGGCUUACGGCCCUCUCCGGCC
rnacentral:RNase_P_RNA from 2 species